rnacentral:rRNA from 1 species
GAUGAACGCUGGCGGCGUGCCUAAUACAUGCAAGUCGAGCGAAUGGAUUAAGAGCUUGCUCUUAUGAAGUUAGCGGCGGACGGGUGAGUAACACGUGGGUAACCUGCCCAUAAGACUGGGAUAACUCCGGGAAACCGGGGCUAAUACCGGAUAAUAUUUUGAACUGCAUGGUUCAAAAUUGAAAGGCGGCUUCGGCUGUCACUUAUGGAUGGACCCGCGUCGCAUUAGCUAGUUGGUGAGGUAACGGCUCACCAAGGCAACGAUGCGUAGCCGACCUGAGCGGGUGAGCGGCCACACUGGGAGUGAGAAACGGCCCAGACUCCUAGGGGAGGCAGCAGUAGGGAAUCUUCCGCAAUGGACGAAAGUCUGACGGAGCAACGCCGCGUGAGUGAUGAAGGCUUUCGGGUCGUAAAACUCUGUUGUUAGGGAAGAACAAGUGCUAGUUGAAUAAGCUGGCACCUUGACGGUACCUAACCAGAAAGCCACGGCUAACUACGUGCCAGCCGCCGCAGUAA